UACGUAGGGUGCGAGCGUUGUCCGGAAUUAUUGGGCGUAAAGGGCUCGUAGGCGGUUUGUCGCGUCGGGAGUGAAAUCCACUGGCUUAACUGGUGGCUUGCUUUCGAUACGGGCAGACUGGAGGUAUGCAGGGGAGAACGGAAUUCCUGGUGUAGCGGUGAAAUGCGCAGAUAUCAGGAGGAACACCGGUGGCGAAGGCAGCUCUCUGGGCAUGUCCUGACGCUGAGGAGCGAAAGUGUGGGGAGCGAACAGG
rnacentral:rRNA from 1 species